rnacentral:rRNA from 1 species
UGCCAGCCGCCGCGGUAACACGGGGGGCGCAAGCGUUAUUCGGAAUUAUUGGGCGUAAAGGGCGCACAGGCGGUCUUGUCCGUCAGGUGUGAAAGCUCGGGGCUCAACCCCGGAAUUGCCUUCAAUACUGCUAGUCUUGAGUUCGAGAGAGGGUGGUGGAAUUCCCAGUGUAGAGGUGAAAUUCGUAGAUAUUGGGAAGAACACCAGUGGCGAAGGCGGCCACCUGGCUCGAUACUGACGCUGAGGUGCGAAAGCGUGGGGAGCAAACAGGAUUAGAUA